rnacentral:lncRNA from 10 species
AACAGCUUGUCACAACAACCACAACUGCGAUGUCCAAAUUGUGCUGCUUAAAGCCUCAGCUCUUGAAGCAGUGUUCCACACACUAUUUCUGCAUUAAUCCAUGAACUUAAUAAGCAUUUGUCUCCCCAGUGGUGCCUCACUGUCUAACUGAACUACUUAUAUCCUGUAAAUUUGCAGUCUGUUUGACUUCUAGAAAACAAAGCAGUCAGGCUUGCCUGAUCUCAUCAGUUUAAUCGUAGAAUAUCUAACCUACUCCACAACCCUUGAAUCUUUAUAUUUUAAAAAUUGGCAAAGCAAGAGCUGUUAUUAGAGACAUGUGUUCCAGACUGUAAUCAGAAAUUGUGAGUCCUUCUGGAUGAACAUGAAAAGAUGAAUAUAGUAUAUUAAAAACGAAUGUGGCUAAUGAAUUACUAUGUGCUAAAAUUACCAUAGUAGUCAUUUAUAGUAUGACAUUGUUGAUGUCUUAAGUAACAGUCAAAAAAUGCACUUUCCAAGGAAUAUGAUUAGCCCAGAGAGUCAUGAAUCUGUCAAAUAACCCCAAAAAGUGAGUGUAUAUUGGAGAUUCUUACAUAUUAAUCAUAGUUUUACCUGAAAGUUUCUCAGCUCUGCUAAUUUAAGUCUGAGAAGUCAAGAAAUAACACAUAUCAAUCAAAGGAGCUUUAUCCCAGAGAUAUUUGUGAACAAAAAUGUACCUUUUUGUGAACUGCAUCCUUAGAGGCUUGUACCUUCUUGGUACUAAGCAAAUUGAUAUCAUGGUUAUAUAAUGUUGCAGGGAGGCAGAGCGCCGUAAAGAUGUAUUCAUUAUAAAGAACAAAACCAGAUAAACAGGCCUUCUUUCUGUUUUGCCAUUUGGGCAGUACAUCACAAAAACCUCCCCUGUUUUGUGCUUAGUGAUAAAAAGUAAUAAUAAGAAUGACUAGUAUUCAUAAAAUACCUAUUCAGUUCCAAUCACAUUUAAUGAUUUAAUAAUUAAAUUUGAUGUUAAUCCAAUUAUCAGAUUUAAUUCAUAUAACCACCCUGUGUAUUUAAUACUAUCAUCAGUCCCCAUUUUAAACCAUGAGAAAGGGAGGCUAAAUAGCUUUCUAAUGGUGGCACACUCAAUGAGCGGUAGAUCGUGGACUUGAACUGGGGUAUUUGCUGCCAGAGUACAAUAACUAACCACUAUGCUCUAUAGCAAUUUGGGGCAUAAACCUUUAGUUAACCUUAGCCUAAGAGAGAAAAUGCUGAAAUCAGCCAUGUGUGAAUGUGUCUUAGUAGGACAGAGGCCAGGUUUCUUUCAAGGAAGAAAUAACAAUAGGACUUAGUCCAUGUAGAGAACUUCCCCUGUGAACACCGCAAGCACCUUUUAAGCAGUAAUGAAGAGUAAGGGAUGAGAUCCUGGGUUUGACUACCAGGUCUACUGCUCACCACCUAUGGGACAAUGAGAAAUUCUUCUAACUUCUCUUAAGUUUCAAUUUCUUCACUAUUUACUUAAGGUAACAAUAGUAUUUAUCUCAUGUUUGAAGAAGCAAUACAACUUUCUCAUUUUUAAUAUUUUGAAAAAUAAUGCGAAAGUAUUAAGAGGCACACAUCAUUAAGUCCAUUUGACAGAGGAAAAAACUGGGAUGUAAAAUUUACAUUAAAUUCAGUAAUUUCUGAACUGCAAAUCUAUGUUUUUCCUCCUAAAAUGUGUAGCUUAUUAAAAACACUCUUUUCAAUCUAAAUUUUCAAAAGCUACAAUUAACUGUUAGGUGAUAAUAAAUUCACUGUCAAUGGGGACAUUGAUUUAUGUCAUGGGGUCCAUCUAGCAAAGAAGUGGCAUUUAGUUAAAAUAUGAGCUAUGUAAGCAUCUUUCCUGAGCCUGAGAUACCGUGACUUGAUGACCACUAAAAUAUCUGACCAUCCAUGGCUUUGACUCCUUGGAAGGUUUCAGAUUCUAUUAUCAUGCUUCUUCAUGUAAGCAGAAAACAGGUGUUAUAGUGUCUUUCUCUGUGGCUAGUUACUUUAGUUGGUUAUUUUAUGUUUCUAAUUACAUUGAAUUAUUGGGUUCAGGGCAAUGUAUUUAUUACACUGUGAGCAAGUAAGCUUUGUGUUCUACGACCCUAGGGUAAAUCCUUAAAUUCAUCAAGAUUCCUUGAAAUGCAAGUAUGGAUAAAUGAACUCCAAUCCAUUUCCAAUUCUGGGAACCAGACUAAGAUAUAUGCACUAAUAAAGGCACUCUGGUAACUUUAUUUUUUAUUCAAAAAAUAUUAAUCCCUGGGUAGAAACAACUCAUUACAAAAAAAAAAGUGCUACAUUUUGCAGAAG